rnacentral:lncRNA from 1 species
CGUAGAGCUUUAGGGCAGAAAAAAGAAACAAAAGCUUGGUCAGGACGUCAGGAAUAAGCUGCUUCUGAGAGAGGGUGAUGUCUUCACCACAGCAGAUCCCCCAGGAGAAGUCAUCCUUGUCCAGCGGACACGCGGAGGCGCUGUGCUCAUGCUGGGAUGCAGACCAAACCCCACCGCCUCCAGGAGGAACCAUUCCUGUCCCCGGGCCAGCUGGCAGGAGCCAGGAGAUGAGGUUCUCCAGGGUGAAAUCCAGAGGGGUCUCACAGAGGAGCCCCUAAACCGAUGAAGGUCACCAAAGCACACCCAGAGAAUGUUUCCAUGGCCUAAGAAGAAUGUGCCUUCCGAGUCCCCGGCUAAGGAAUCCAGGAGUGGCCAACCCAGAGAUUCACCUCUUACCCAUGAGGAACAGGCCCUGGCCCAUCCCUUGGAAUGCAGGCCCUGCGGGGGUCAAGGCCCUCUGUUCUGGGUUGGGAGGAGGUUGCUAGGGGGAGGGUGCGGAGGGAAAAAGCUACAUAAACUGCAGGCUUCUUACAAACUGGAGCGGCUCCCCUGUCCAGCCCACUGCCAGCAGACUGUCCCUGCAUGUAACUUCCUCCAAUAAACCCUGUGUCUCAUUCGCUGUUUCUAGGUCUCUUCUGUGGCCUCUUGGGCACGGUGCCAUCCCUUCUGGAGUCAACAGGGGUCUGGCACAGCAACUGGGAAAAGCCUCUGUCCACUCCAGAGGAGAUUAACGGGAUAGCAGAGGGGCCUUGUGGAGGCAGUCUGUCCUCCUCUUCUCUCUCCAGAGUGGCCAGGCCAAUCUCUUAACAGCAAUGCCAGGAAGCCUGGGCUCCCAUCCUCACCUGGAACCAGCUACCGGGGCAGGCCUCAGUUUUCCCCAGCCAUAAAACUGGGCUGACAAUCCUCAUCCUCACUCAGAAGGUCGGGAUGAUUCAACCCGAUCAUGUGCUUUGGAAGUCUAGCCCGUGUCUGACACGCAGCCUAUCCACAACACGCGUUUGCCUUUCCCCAUCCUGGACAACAGGAGACUCUGUCCCUUUUCCCUUGCCUCUCCUCUGACUCUGGCUCGGUGUUCAUUUGCAUUUCAAUAUGUUUCAUCCCUAACUCCUAGGUGAUGAGUGAACACAGACAUCGGGGCUGGGCCAGUGAUUCUAUAACUGAUGUCCCCAGUUCAUCUUUGAUUUGCG